GGUCUGUUAGCUCAGCUGGUCAGAGCGUGGUACUAAUACAAUCACGAUGCUUGCAUCGGAUGUUGCCGUAAUGCCAAGGUCACGAGUUCAAUCCUCGUAUGGACCA
rfam:Tilletiaria anomala TBC 951 K437scaffold_30, whole genome shotgun sequence.